GGGACUGGUGACUGGGAUAAAUGGUCAGAAGGCCAGGAAGGGAGGCACCUGCCGGCAUGCUUCGGGGUCCCCGUGGGAGUUGCUGAAGAGGAGAAAGAGACACCAGCGUCAGCACUCUGCCUGGUGACGGCACCACGAGAAGUUUGCCGUGUGCGAGCCUGGAUCUCAGACCCCCGGCCUCCGGCACCGCGAGGAAGCAAGCCGCCCGGUCCAGGGACUAGGACAGCCCCCACGUUCCCAACCCGGCCCUCACGCAGCCGUAAUUAAAGAGAAAUAUUACAUCGCUGCACCUGUUUUUCACUUUGGCUCACCACCGUGAGUAAGCCCAAUCUUUUAUUGAGGAGAAGAGACGCAAGCUGGAAAAUCGUAGGAGGAACAUCAAAACCCCUCCAGCCUUCCCCGGAGACGUGGAAGAAAUCCCAAAUUACGGCGAGCAGCGGUGCCCACGGCGGGGCCGGGCUCUCGGCUCCUCCAAAGGGUCAGGGCCUGCCCGGGGCAAGAAUGCCGCGGCGGACGGGUUGUCCACUGCGUCCUGUUUCUGCUCCUUCUGCCCCGGCCUGAAUUCGCGCUCCCGAGAGAGGGGGUAAGAGCGGCCGGGGAAGCCGAGCGGGUCCAGUCCAGCAGCUCUGGGCCUCAGGUGGGCCUCAGCCUUCCCGGCCAGCGCCCCCCACGCUGCUCAGGGGCUUCAGUCGCAGGGACCCACAAGGCCGGGGCAGACAGCACCAGAGAGCGGAUGUUUGCCAGGCACUUCACAGUUUACUCUUGGCCCCUGAGCAUGAUUCUGUUCUCCCGAGAAGCCCCAGCAGGGAUCCUGCUACAGCGGCCGCCCCGGGGGCUCGGGUUCCUGCGUGGGUCCCCAGUGCCGCCCACUCGGCCCACCCCGAAGUUCCAGCUCUCUUCCGAGGACCCGCUUCUGUUUAUAAAACCCACCGGCGGCCCGGGUCAGCCCCUCCCUCCUGCGAAGGGGCCGUAUGUCAAAAUAAAGUCCCACUCGGAGAGGAACAGAGCGGUAAUGGGAGGCAGCAGGCCCUGACCGGGGACUUGGUGCACAUUUCCUAGACACAGACGAGCCCGUGGACUUAACUCCCUGAUGCACCUUGGGUCCCCCGGGCCCCCGCCGAGCCUGGCUGCGCACCUAUCACCCGGGCGCCUGACUACACGUGCUGACCUGUAACCCCCACCCCCAGGAGACCACCGUCCUCACCAUCGGACACGCGGCCCCGUGGCUCAGAGGAGGUGCCCUGGAGCGGUUUCUGCUGGAACAUUCCGGGGCUGAGACCCCCCCUUGUGAUUUAUGACUUCUACCACGUGACUGCUGCCGGAGGCCCCUGGAGACGCAGGGAUGGGGGGCCGAGCCACGUUCCCCGUCCCCAGUCACCGACUCCCAACUCCAGGGAGCGCCUCCCAAGCAGCGACGUUAAGGGUUCCAGAAGAGGUGAGAGGGCCAGCCUCUGCGUGGCUGAGUCCUCACAGAGACCUGUCCGGGUGCGGGGAGGACCCAGUCCUGGAAGCCAGGCAUGUCAGUUACUCACAUCAGUCCUCCGAGUGACACCGUCUCUGAGGCACCAGACCCCGCCCCCACCCCCCAGGCUUUGUAAGGUCCCGCCGUCCGGUCCAGUUGACCACAGUUUUCACCUGCCUUCAGCCCCGAAGUCCUUGCCGUUCUUCCUGUCCCCCGCCCAGAGACGGCCCUGUGAUGCGCAGAAUCGCGGCCCCCCAGAGAUGCCCACAUCGUGCUCUCAGAUGCACUGCAGAGGGGGGUCGCCGAUGCCAAUCAGCUUGCUGUGCGGCAGGAAGGCUACUCUGCACGUCCUGCGUGGACCCGAUGUGAUCACGGGGUCCUGGAAGGCAGAGCGGGAACUGCAGGAGAAAACCAGACACGUGGCUGUGUGGGAAGGACACGAGCCACCGUCCCGGCUUUGAAGACGGAGGUCGGGGUGCUGCAGUCCUCGAGCCAGGCAGCAGGGGCCGUGCUGGCUGGGGCUACGGCUCAGAGCGCCCUAGGCUGGGCCCCUUGGACUCACGAUGGCUUGCCACGUGUCCUUUGCACUCCCAGGAAGCAGGGCGGGCUGGGGUGGAGGGAUCCUGGGGCAUUCCUGGGCUGGGCAGGUAGGCACUUCGGGCAGCCGGAAGCCGGCAGAGCCAUGAACCGUGUCCCAGAGAUCACUGGGGCCGCAUCCAAGGAAACGGGAUGUCAGCAGGUCCCGAGGACUUCGGGGGGCUGGGGGGGACCACAGAGAGAGGCAGGAGAAGCUUGGACAGACUGGCCCUGUUAAGCCUCUGUUGGGAGGGAGUCCCCUCCCCUGUGGAUAUUCCGCAGGUGGCCGUCUGCAGCCCCAGCCCGUCGGCAGAGACAUCCUCCCCCGCCCCGGGGACCCCCAUCGUGGCAGCUGCGUGGAGCUGAGGUUCAGUCUGUGGCUCAGGCCUUGAAUCUAACUGAUUGUGACUGGCUCGCCCACCUCUGAUCACAGAGCUGACCCACUUUGAAAGUUUGCUGUUUUCAGCACCAGUUCAUGGCCGGGGGGAACGGCUUGGCCAAAUGUAUUAAUAACCUCAAAUAUAUUCACAUCUUCUGACUCGGUAAUUGUCCCUGUGGGAGUCCAGCCUCGGGGCGUCGCCGGGGAUGUGGACAAAGACUUUGCUCUAAGAAGUUCCUCACAACACAAUUUCGAGUAGAAAGUAACCGGCAAAUCGCUUAGAUGUUCAACAAAGGAAAAACGGCUUUUAGGGGAAAAUCCCUGCAGUGAAAUAUUUUGCAGCCGCUGAAAGGGACGGCCGAGGCAUUUUUCCGGGGACAAAAAUACCCACGACAUAAAAUUGCAUUAAGAAAAAAAAAAAGAUUGCCUGAGUUGGGGAGUUUGGAUGCUGGCUACUUUCUUUGUUGCAUUUUUCUCAAUUUCUAUAAUUUCCACCACGAUCACAUGCUUCUUGUAGAACCAGGAGGAGAGGGAGAACGGCCUCCUUGGGGCCCCGAAGACGCUGGUCUCCCAAAGCCCGUGUCCCUCGGCAGCUUGGCUGGGUUUUCCGGAGCCACGCACUCCCCGUCGGCCCUUACCUGGCACGCCCAGGGGGAUGUUUAUGUUUGGCUCUAAUUCCAAAUCCCAGUAAAACCCACAGCUGCUUCUCAGUUCUCGUCCCCGCAGCAGCAAACCCACCCCCCACGCUGCUGAUUCUCUUCUGCAUUACCAGUCUCUCUCUGCACGCAGAUACUAAAUAUAUUUUAAUGGAUCCAGGCUGUUACUGAUGCAGCCAGCCCAAGACUGGGACGGCUAGAGACACCACCAGCUGAGUUCUCAAACUCUCAAUCCAGUACUCCCCAGUCUCUACAGAAGGGGGGACGUGAAUCCAGUCCAGGCUUGAAAAUUGUCCCAGUUGGGCUAGAAAAGCUAAUCCAGCCUGGCGUCAACAAUAACGGAGUCUUAUGGUCUCACUGAAACAAAACUUCCCGAGGAAUCAGACGUCAGGCACAGCUCGAUCCAGACGUUCUUGGUGGCCUCGGGGUCCUGGCACCAUUUCCUCUGCUGUUCCUUGGCUGUUUCAACCGUGGGGCUGCAGCCUCUGUCCACGGCAUCCUGUUCAGAUGAACAGAGGGUGCUGUUGUCCCCACCUCCCCUGCAUGGCCACUGGCAUUCGCUGUCCCUGGACCAGCUCAGCUCAGGUGCUCCCCCUGGACUGUGACCAGGGGACGGGAUGCACUGACUAUCUCAGGCCAUCAGGUGCCCGAACGGGAGCUGCGGGGGGAGUCUGUUUCUCCAGAAACCAGGACCCGCGAGACAAAGGGGGAUGGGUGCCUACCACAAAUGUCCACCACGGGCAAGCUGUCCUCCGCCGCUCCCUUAGCUAGUACGUCUAGACAGGUGUUUGCUCGCAUUAACCACGGGAACAGUUCGUGAACGUUCAGUUCCCGUGCCUCACUCAGCGAAUGUGUACCAUUGCUCACAGAUCCAGUUAAAUAAAAUACUUUAA